GAACCACCAUGUGUUUGCGGCUCCCAUCUCCUUCCUUCGUCGCCGUCGAGCCAUACGACAUGUCCGAAAUUCAGAGAGUGAAAGAGACACUGAGAAAGAGAGCCUCGUUCUAACUCCGAGCCCUUGAUUCUGAAACCCUAGAAUUUGGGAAAUUUCAAAGUAAAUUCGCAGGCGGGGUUGUAAGAUCACUUGAGACUAGCGAGAGAAUUACGCAAUGAAAGGAUCCUGUGACUCACUCCUGUCAUCUUCUUCGAUGGUGGUGGUGGUACUGUUGCUCAGAUUGAUAAGCAAUUGAACACGCUUGACGAUCCCUUGACGUGGAUGAAACAGAUGAGCUUUAUGGAAAACAGUAGUGGAGGAGACGAAGGUUGUAAAGAAAUUGGAUGCAGAGAGGAGAGAGCAUUCGAAGAAGGAGUCUUGCUGCUUUCCGCUGAUCAAAUACAGUGUUUUACAUGUUUGGCUAAAUUAAAAAGGCUGCUUGAGGAGGCUUUCGUCCUUCCUUUAUGGAUACCCGAAUAUUUUUUUGAGAUAACACGCUGUUGGCUAAAUGGUUGCCACUGAGUGUGGUACACUGGUACUGCAUUCUCCAAUGUCCCUACUGCUACUUACAGCCUCAGAAAUGGCGUGGAGGAGAGUGAGUGCAUGGUCAAAUGCUCCGGGCACAAUCUUCAUUGCUGAGAUUGAUUCUGUUUACAACUCUCGAGGGUGACUUCCUCUUCUAGCGUUAGUAUAUUUGUAUAUCCAUGCGCUUUCUUCUUUUCUACUCACCAAAAGAUCAAAGCACAGUGUGUCAUUGUGUGACAAAUAAAAAAAAUGUGAAUUUGAAAAAAAACAGUAGAGGUUCCGGAGAGCAAGAAAUCAUCAAGAAGAGUGAACUCCGGGUUCAGGUAGAGGGGCGUGAGCAAUACAGCAACAAAGUAGGACGGUAUUACCAAUAAUCAUGCUCGUUUUCAGGUGGCCAGUACCGUUGACACUGAGGAAGUGGCUUUGGCUAGGAUAAGCAAAAAGGAUACAGGGGAGACAAAUCUGACUAACGUGUGCAGAGACGCGUGAAUGAACGGAAUCUGAGGGAGGAGAUCAAGAACAUGUGUGAUUUCGAAAGAUCUCCAAUGGCGAUGUGUGAUUUCGAAGAGGCACCGACACCAGAUAUCGACAAGUGGUUCCCAGAGUUCUACUCGGCGAAAAAACUUCCAACUAUACCGUUACUUGUUUUGUCUUGAUUUAUUGCUUUCUUCCACCAUUCUCAAAUUUUCUCUUUUAUUUCUUACGGUGUUAUUGUCGUGAUGCCUCUCUCUCUGCCACUAACUGAAAUAAGUUUCGAAUUUUAUCCGACAUUUUAUUUAUUUGUAUAUAUAUUAAAUGGAGACACGUGAAUAUUA